rnacentral:rRNA from 1 species
UACGUAGGGGGCGAGCGUUGUCCGGAUUUAUUGGGCGUAAAGAGCGUGUAGGCGGCCUGAUAGGUCAGCUGUGAAAACUCGAGGCUCAACCUCGAGACGUCGGUUGAAACCAUCUGGCUAGAGUCCGGAAGAGGAGUGUGGAAUUCCCGGUGUAGCGGUGAAAUGCGCAGAUAUCGGGAAGAACACCCGUGGCGAAGGCGGCACUCUGGGACGGUACUGACGCUGAGACGCGAAAGCGUGGGGAGCGAACAGG